rnacentral:rRNA from 1 species
UACGUAGGGAGCAAGCGUUAUCCGGAUUUAUUGGGUGUGAAGGGUGCGUAGACGGGAUUACAAGUUGGUUGUGAAACCCCUCAGCUCAACUGAGGAACUGCAACCAAAACUAUAAUUCUUGAGUGCAGGAGAGGAAAGUGGAAUUCCUAGUGUAGCGGUGAAAUGCGUAGAUAUUAGGAGGAACACCAGUGGCGAAGGCGACUUUCUGGACCGUAACUGACGUUGAGGCACGAAAGUGUGGGGAGCAAACAGG